UACGUAGGGGGCAAGCGUUGUCCGGAUUCAUUGGGCGUAAAGCGCUGGUAGGCGGCCAGUUAAGUCCGUUGUGAAAUCUCGAGGCUCAACUUCGAGCUGUCGGUGGAAACUGUCUGGCUAGAGUCCGGAAGAGGAGAAUGGAAUUCCUGGUGUAGCGGUGAAAUGCGCAGAUAUCAGGAAGAACACCCGUGGCGAAGGCGGUUCUCUGGGACGGUACUGACGCUGAGACGCGAAAGCGUGGGGAGCGAACAGG
rnacentral:rRNA from 1 species